UUGGAGGGCAAGUCUGGUGCCAGCAGCCGCGGUAAUUCCAGCCCCAAUAGCGUAUAUUAAAGUUGUUGUGGUUAAAAAGCUCGUAGUUGAACCUUGGGCCUGGCUGGCCGGUCCGCCUCACCGCGUGUACUGGUCCGGCCGGGCCUUUCCCUCUGUGGAACCCCACGCCCUUCACUGGGUGUGGCGGGGAAACAGGACUUUUACUGUGAAAAAAUUAGAGUGCUCCAGGCAGGCCUAUGCUCGAAUACAUUAGCAUGGAAUAAUAGAAUAGGACGUGUGGUU
rnacentral:rRNA from 1 species